AUUGAACGCUGGCGGCAUGCCUUACACAUGCAAGUCGAACGGCAGCGGGGGAGAAGCUUGCUUUUCCUGCCGGCGAGUGGCGAACGGGUGAGUAAUACAUCGGAACGUGCCCUGUAGAGGGGGAUAACUAGUCGAAAGAUUAGCUAAUACCGCAUACGACCUGAGGGAGAAAGUGGGGGACCUUCGGGCCUCACACCAUCGGAUGUGCGCAGGUGGGAUUAGCUAGUAGGGGGGGUAAUGGCUCACCUAGGCGACGAUCCCUAGCUGGUCUGAGAGGAUGACCAGCCACACUGGAACUGAGACACGGUCCAGACUCCUACGGGGGGCAGCAGUGGGGAAUAUUGCACAAUGGGCGCAAGCCUGAUGCAGCCAUGCCGCGUGUAUGAAGAAGGCCUUCGGGUUGUAAAGUACUUUCAGCGGGGAGGAAGGCGGUGAGGUUAAUAAUCUUGCCGAUUGACGUUACCCGCAGAAGAAGCACCGGCUAACUCCGUGCCAGCAGCCGCAGUAA
rnacentral:rRNA from 1 species